rnacentral:lncRNA from 1 species
CAGGAGACCUGGAACGUCCGUGCCGUGAGAGACCGGCCGGUCCUCCUGCAGUCCUCUCACACCUGCAGGGUCAGAACAGGUGAACAGACUGAGACGGCUGUUGGUGUGCAGUCCCUGACAGGAGCAGCGGAAGAGCCUUAAGGAAGCGGGGCUCUCCCAGAAGAGAGAGGCACGCAAACACUGCUGCUGUAAAGCUUCAGGUGAUGGGCUGCGACAAUUGCGUGUGCAGCCCUGAGCUCCUCUGCACUCAGCGGUGAGAAACGGGACCCGCCAGAGAUCUGUCAGAGCGCUCCGUCUCUGCUGAGCGCGGUACCGACAGCCGCGCACCGCUCCGCGCCACUCACCGCGCCGCGUCCACCCGCAGCUCCUGGAGGGCCGUCCGCAGGCUGCGCUCCUCCUCGUCGUCCUCGUCCUCGUCCUCGUCGUCGUCCUGCUGCUGCUGCUGCUGCUCCUCCUCGUCCUCGUGCCGCCUGUUUGCAAGCCAAGGACACGUGAAAGGAACGUCAGCGGGACUGAGGCGGAGCUGCACCCAGCCUGUGGUGGGCGACCCAAUAAAAG